CUUGCGGUUGAUGCCCUUGCUGGCAUCCUUGAUAAGGCCCUGCGGGCCGGCCACAUAAAGGGGGUGGUUAGUCAUCCCAUCCCCGGAGGGGGUGUCACCCACUUGCAAUAUGCGGAUGAUACCAUGAUCAUGGUGGAGGGGUCUGACUUGGACAUUGUUAAUCUUAAGUUCCUUUUACUCUGCUUCAAGGAAAUGUCUGGACUUAAGAUUAAUUUUGACAAGAGUGAGGUUGUGAUCCUAGGCUACUCGGAGCCUGAGCGACAAUGGAUUGUGGACAACCUCACCUGUAGGCUGGCGUAUUUCCCAUUAUCUUACUUGGGGAUGCCUAUGUCAGAGUCUAGUCCUGGUGAGUGUUUAUGAUCCGCUAGUGGGACGAGUAGCAUCCGCACGGAGCCCUGGUGCGGGAGAUUCACAUCUAAAGGAAGCAAAACGGUCCUUAUUAGCUCCAACAUUGCUAGCCUCCCCAUGUAUAUGAUGGGGAUGUACAUAUUACAUGAAGGUGUGCAUGGCUCCUUUGACAAGGAGCUGGCUAGGUGA
rnacentral:rRNA from 1 species